GAGUUUGAUCGUGGCUCAGAUUGAACGCUGGCGGCAGGCCUAACACAUGCAAGUCGAGCGGUAGAGAGAAGCUUGCUUCUCUUGAGAGCGGCGGACGGGUGAGUAAUGCCUAGGAAUCUGCCUGGUAGUGGGGGAUAACGCUCGGAAACGGACGCUAAUACCGCAUACGUCCUACGGGAGAAAGCAGGGGACCUUCGGGCCUUGCGCUAUCAGAUGAGCCUAGGUCGGAUUAGCUAGUUGGUGAGGUAAUGGCUCACCAAGGCGACGAUCCGUAACUGGUCUGAGAGGAUGAUCAGUCACACUGGAACUGAGACACGGUCCAGACUCCUACGGGAGGCAGCAGUGGGGAAUAUUGGACAAUGGGCGAAAGCCUGAUCCAGCCAUGCCGCGUGUGUGAAGAAGGUCUUCGGAUUGUAAAGCACUUUAAGUU
rnacentral:rRNA from 1 species